rnacentral:rRNA from 1 species
UACGUAGGGGGCCAGCGUUGCUCGGAAUUACUGGGCGUAAAGGGUUCGUAGGUGGUGCGGCAAGUUGGGAGUGAAAUCUCUGGGCUUAACUCAGAGGCUGCUUUCAAAACUGCCGCGCUCGAGUGCGAGAGAGGUCAGUGGAAUUGCAGGUGUAGCGGUGAAAUGCGUAGAUAUCUGCAGGAACACCCGUGGCGAAGGCGGCUGACUGGAUCGCAACUGACACUGAGGAACGAAGGCUAGGGGAGCAAACAGG